UCUUCUGAUUCCAGAUCCAGUGCUCUUUUGAAGGCAAGUGGCUGUUAUCUAUGCUCAAAGUGCAAGCUGGUUUACCUCCUAGGAGAUAAGGUGAAGUGGCUCAAGGAACACCUCUUCACACUCCAGGCGCUGAGGAUCAAUGAUGUCUGGGUCCUCUUCAAGAAUGAAGGACAAACAACAACAGAUACUGAGAAUACAAAGGCAAGCAAAAAAG